ACCUGCCGCUGCCCUCCGCGUCCCCGGUCGGACACCGCCGCCAGGCGCUCGGCACCGCGCGGGAGCUUUUUGUGUCACCGCCGAGACUAAGGCACCGAGCGGGUGGGGGUGGGAGGCCGGGCUCGGCUCGCGCGACACCGCCCCUCUCCGGCGGCUCCACCCCCUCUGCGCCCACUCCUCUCCUCCCCUCGGUUCCCCAGCCCAGCCUCUCCACUGGUCGCGCGGGUCUCUGUCCGUCCGCCCUCCCGGGGUGAGAGGCUGACCCCUGCCUCGCGCGCCCCUUCGGCCUCGCCCCCAAGGGCCAACCCCACACCAGCACCUCGCUGUUCUCUUUAAGCACCAGUCGCGAGCGGGACCCGAGCCGGAACCAGGCACCUGACAGAUGCUUGUCCUCCUCCCACCAAGAGAUAACCUCUACUGCGAAUGAGAGAGCCGUGAAGGCUGUAUGCACGUCUUAGAAGCCUAAGGUGGUAAAUCCCUUCUUUUGUUUUGGUAUUCACUCCACCCUGUGUGCUUUGAAGCAUCCUAACUAGUCAUUCAGUCAGUAAUGGUGACACCGUGUUUUGAGUCACUGGUUGGUACAGGAUGAAAAUGUGACCCAGUUCCGGACAAUGAGACAAGAGAGGAAGUUGGCUGGAAGCUUUCUAGAAAAGAGAUCUUCACUAUCAAAAAGAGACGUGCAAAGUAGCAGCUGCUCUUCUGUUGCCGGCUGUUAUCUGGUCUGCAUAUGAUGUCAGAGCGGUGGGGACCAUCUCCUAACAAGGACGGCAUCUCCUAAGGAGAUCACUAACAGGAAGGGAGUAAAGAACCAAGACUGAUGAUAUCACUUUGCUGGAGUGGACCAACUCAAAAACUGCUUUCCCUUCUGUUUCUCACUUUGUUAAUAAUAAAUCCCCUUUUUGUUAAGGCA